AUUGAACGCUGGCGGCAGGCCUAACACAUGCAAGUCGAACGAGUGGCGGACGGGUGAGUAAUGCCUGGGAAACUGCCUGAUGGAGGGGGAUAACUACUGGAAACGGUAGCUAAUACCGCAUACCAUCAGAUGUUCCCAGACGGGAUUAGCCAGUUGGUGGGGUAACGGCUCACCAGGGCGACGACCCCUAGCUGGUAUGAGAGGAUGACCAGCCACACUGGAACUGAGACACAGUCCAGAAUCCUACGAGGGGCAGCAGUAGGGAAUAUUGCACAGUGGGCGCAAGCCUGAUGCAGCCAUGCCGCGUGUAUGAGGAAGGCAUUCGGGUUGUAAAGUACUUUCAGCGGGGAGGCGUUACCGGCAGAAGAAGCACCGGCUAACUCCGUGCCAGCAGCCGCGGUAAUUC
rnacentral:rRNA from 1 species